rnacentral:rRNA from 1 species
UACGUAGGGCGCGAGCGUUGUCCGGAAUUAUUGGGCGUAAAGAGCUCGUAGGCGGCCUGUUGCGUCCGCUGUGAAAGCCCGGGGCUUAACCCCGGGUCGGCAGUGGAUACGGGCAGGCUAGAGGUAGGUAGGGGAGAAUGGAAUUCCCGGUGUAGCGGUGAAAUGCGCAGAUAUCGGGAGGAACACCGGUGGCGAAGGCGGUUCUCUGGGCCUUACCUGACGCUGAGACGCGAAAGCGUGGGGAGCGAACAGG